AGGUCUUGAGGAUGCAAUGGAAUUUCCACGAUUCAACUUCAAUCCGAAAGAGGGGAUCGACAAUCCAGCUUUAGUCAUCUCGGAGGACCCUGAGCCAGACCCGAGCCCUACAGAGCCAGAGUUUUGGCUUCUAUCUGCGUAUGGAGAGGAGCUGCCGGGGCUAUGUUGUCCGCCAGCUGGAUCCGUGGAGUCCUGCAGAGCUCAGUGGGCUCAAGGACGGGGACCGUGUGCUGGAGGUCAAUGAGGACUUUGUCGACGACAUGGAGUUCCCCAGGGGGAGAACCAGACGUCCCGUUAUGAAAGUGGAAUCAUUGUGCACACGUUUCUUAAAAGCUUUGGCACACAGAUUUGAGUUCUGUAAGUAAUGUGGGUCUAAUACAUCACGUGGGGCAGAACCAGACUUUAAGAGACCUGAGCGAACCUCUUCUCUAACAAGGUCUCCAACAGUGUCCUCUGCUUCGCUUUCAUUUGAAAAUGAGCCACAUUUUUCAAAAUGUACAAUAUGUGGCUUCAAUGUGAAAGACUAGCGUCCUGUCCAGGUGGUGUACAUGCUCAUCAAGCUGCCCUGCGCUACGUAAACAGGCUCCUGCCCUAUGGGCUGUUCUGGCUCGGACAAGGUGUUCUACCUGGAAUCAAAAAGGAUUCUUCAAAGCGUUGUCGGUAGUGUAUAUUGUGUUAUAAUUUCAUAUUUUUCUUAUUUGAUAAUUUUUUCAUACUUUUUAACUCUGCUUUGUUGAGAAAGAGCUC